rnacentral:rRNA from 1 species
UGAGGAAUAUUGGGCAAUGGACACAAGUCUGACCCAGCCAUGCCGCGUGAAGGAUGAAGGCCCUAUGGGUUGUAAACUUCUUUUAUACGGGAAAAAACACCGGUCGUGUAUCGGUGCUGAUGGUACCGUAAGAAUAAGCAUCGGCUAACUCCGUGCCAGCAGCCGCGGUAAUACGGAGGAUGCAAGCGUUAUCCGGAUUCAUUGGGUUUAAAGGGUGCGCAGGCGGAUUAAUAAGUCAGUGGUGAAAUCCUACGGCUCAACUGUAGAACUGCCAUUGAUACUGUUAGUCUUGAGUAGUGUUGAGGUAGGCGGAAUGUGUCAUGUAGCGGUGAAAUGCUUAGAUAUGACACAGAACACCAAUCGCGAAGGCAGCUUACCAAGCAAUAACUGACGCUCAUGCACGAAAGCGUGGGGAUCAAACG